rnacentral:rRNA from 1 species
GACGAACGCUGGCGGCGUGCUUAACACAUGCAAGUCGAACGGAAAGGCCCUGCUUUUGUGGGGUGCUCGAGUGGCGAACGGGUGAGUAACACGUGAGUAACCUGCCCUUGACUUUGGGAUAACUUCAGGAAACUGGGGCUAAUACCGGAUAGGAGCUCCUGCUGCAUGGUGGGGGUUGGAAAGUUUCGGCGGUUGGGGAUGGACUCGCGGCUUAUCAGCUUGUUGGUGGGGUAGUGGCUUACCAAGGCUUUGACGGGUAGCCGGCCUGAGAGGUUGACCUGCCACAUUGGGACUGAGAUACGGCCCAGACUCCUACGGGAGGCAGCAGUGGGGAAUAUUGCACAAUGGGCGGAAGCCUGAUGCAGCAACGCCGCGUGCGGGAUGACGGCCUUCGGGUUGUAAACCGCUUUCGCCUGUGACGAAGCGUGAGUGACGGUAAUGGGUAAAGAAGCACCGGCUAACUACGUG